GAGAAACCUCAAUCAGUCUACCUACUUCCUCAUUUUCCUGACACACACAACUGGUCAAAGGGCAUCAGCUCAACAGGCCAGCCUACCGUAUGCUGCAGAAGGCAGGGUGCUACCACGUGGAAUCACCCUCAGUUACAAUGACUCUUAAUUUUUAAGGGACUAUCCAGAUUUGCAGCCACCUCUGUCAUUGAGCC
rnacentral:lncRNA from 1 species